AUCCUCUCAGAAUCACACCUGGAGAGUUUUCAGUACUCUACCAGUCAUGACCACAGGAUGAAGAGUCCAGCAGAGGCAUAUCCAUUCCAUUCCUAGCUUGACCAGUGACUAGUAAGUGGAAAGCAAUCUGCUACAAGU